CAAGUGAGUUUCCUGGGUGAGAUGAUUUAAGUGGAGGUGGAGGUGGAGUUAGGACUGUGAAUUGCGGGGACAUGGGGAGCUCUCUUUUAAAGAAUGGAUUGGAGGGUUCUUUCCUAUGAAUGAAUCUGAAGAAAGAAAGAAAGGUCUCUUUUUUUCCACCUUGAUUAUUUAUGCUAUAAGUUAAGGAGGUGUUAUAGACUGAUUUGUUUUCCCCAAAAUAUGUAUGUUGAGGCCUUAACAUAUAUUUGGAGAUAGAGCCUUUAGGAAGUCUAUUAAGGUUAAAUGAGGUCAUAGGGUGGGGUCCUAGUCUGAUGUCCUUAUAAGAAGAGGAGGAAACACCAGAGAUUCAAUCUCUCUCUCUUUCUGUGUUUGUGUGCACAUGCCUGUGCAGAUAGUACAGGCCAUGUGACUAUCACAUUCAUUUUACAGGCAGGCAAAUGUUGCUUCUUUUUAGAUUCAGUUUCCUGAAAGUCCCACAUCAGGUAAGUAGCACAGCCUGAACUUGUGUCUUCUGACUGUCUUCCAUGCUGACUUCAGCCAAAAAUCCUUCUUCUUUAAAAGGAAGAAGUUAAAACCUACUUGGAGUUACCACUUGUUUGAAUCUAUCUGAAAAAUAAAACGUGCUCUUUCAGGGCUCAAUGCGAUCACAGCCAGGAAUUUUUGGCAAAGAUUUUUAUUAUCACAAUAUGUUCUGCUCUGCUAAUGGGUUGAUGGAGAUGGUGAAGCAUGACAUCAAUCCAUAAUGCAUGGGGGGAUGUGGAGAGUAAGAGGAAGGGUAAGCAGAGCCCCUUUGGAAAUAGGGACACCAUGUGAACCACUGGAAGACUGGAAGUUACACUAAACAGAGAGGACGACUGCUGAAGUCCUGGAACUUAAGAGAAAUCCAAUACUGGAGCUACAAGGCAGAAUAAUUUAGAAAUUUGGGGCGAGAAAAAUUGAAAACGACAACUGAUACAGGAAAAUGUCUUUGACCUGGACAAUAAAAUAAAAUUAGCCUGCACUGCAUGUUGGAAAUGCAGGGUUUUAAAGAAAGAGAAUUUUGGCAAUGAUUAGUGACUUAACUUUAUGCAAAGGAAAAAUUCAAUCACACAUUGAUACAAAUACUUUUCCCUUUGACUCCUGGGGUGAAAGUUUCAAAAUGCAUUUAUUAAACACCUGUCUACCAUAGCAGUGGCCCAAUCAAAAAUGUUUCCUUCUGUUGGCUUUUUAUCUUUGUUUUUGUACUGUUCCUCAUCCCUCCAUCCUAGAUUCACUUUCUAUGUAAACUACCUGCAUACAAGACUUUGUCUCAGAUUCUGCCUUUGGGGAAAUGCAGGUUAAGAUAACUGGUUACAUGAGAGGUCCCAGAAUGCACACCUUCAGGGUGAGUUUCUUGAGCCUUGAUUGUUAGACUCUGCUGGAUUAAAGGUUCCAGUUCCCAAGCUGGGGACACUUAUAUCAGGAGACACAGUAAGGUAUCCACUAAACUUCAAACUGUGUGUCCACCUGGUCAUCUGGGCUCCUCAUCAUUUUAUCAAUGGUAAAAAAGGGAGUUGCUGGACUGGAGAGGAUAAUGGACCCUGAAUAUGAAGAGGAGUUAGGGUUAAUACCUUAAAAUAGAGGCAGGGCUGAGUAUGUCUGGAACUUAGUGGAAUCAAUAGGAUAAUUCUUGAUAUUUCCAUGCAUGGUCAUAAUAGUGAACAGGUGACUGAAGCAACCACGCACACAAGAGCAGCCAAGCGCUCAGGGCCCUUUAGGGAUGAAAUUCUGAGGCAUCCAUCAGGAAAGCAGUCUAGGCCAGCUGAAGUAUUGGCUGGGAGUGAGGGAAAUCUCUAGAGGGUGUUGGAGGAGGGAGAUGAAUGCUAAUGAAGGCUUGGGACAGCUGUGGCUGUGACUAUCUAGCUUCCCUUGUAGAACAGCAGCUAGGCACCUCCUUGGAGGAGGUGAUCUUAAUGAAAAGCACAAGCAGUCUGAGUGUGGCUAAGGAUGGACCAUAUUAGAAGCCUCCUAAGAACCACUUCAAACCUUCCCAGCACAGUGUUAUUUUAACCAACAAAGCCAGGAAAUGUCCAAGUGUGAAUGCAUUAAUUCCCAUGGGGUUACCCUUGGCCAGUGGAAUUGAGAGCCAAUGAAUAUGUUCUUCCUCCUUUCACCACCCUGGGAGAAGAGUUCUGAGAUGCUUUCUGGAAGGUUCCUUAGGAGUCCUCAUAGGAUCAAGCAUCCCUCUGCCACAGUGGUGACCAGCUCAGUCAUGCAUCCUCAUAUUGCUUUUCUCUCUGUGUUGCAUUUGCCCUGCUCUUCACACCUGCUUCCAGGAAUCACUUCCCGAAUGAACUAUCUGCACACAAGCUUUGUCUCAGUGGCUGCUUUUGGGGGAAUCUAUCUUAGGACAAUGUAGCUUUGGAGUCUGUGAUUGCAUCAGGUAAUUAAUCUAACAAUACUAUUUGCAGUAAAUAAUAUAUCAUUUGAUUUUUAUUUAUUUGUUUUGGAAACUGCCUUUUGAUUAUGGAACAUUCAAUUAUUCACAUUUAUUAUUGCACUUGUAGUUUUGAAAAGUGUGUUUUUCUUGAAUUAUUUCUUGCUCUGUAUUGUUAUCACCAGAUGUUUGCCUUCCUAUUUCUGGUUCUCAGAGUAAUGACAUUUGGGGUUUUUCC
rnacentral:lncRNA from 10 species